GAGUUUGAUCCUGGCUCAGGACGAACGCUGGCGGCGUGCUUAACACAUGCAAGUCGAGCGAUGAAGCUCCUUCGGGAGUGGAUUAGCGGCGGACGGGUGAGUAACACGUGGGCAACCUGCCUCAUAGAGGGGAAUAGCCUUUCGAAAGGAAGAUUAAUACCGCAUAAGAUUGUAGUACCGCAUGGUACAGCAAUUAAAGGAGUAAUCCGCUAUGAGAUGGACCCGCGUCGCAUUAGCUAGUUGGUGAGGUAACGGCUCACCAAGGCGACGAUGCGUAGCCGACCUGAGAGGGUGAUCGGCCACAUUGGGACUGAGACACGGCCCAGACUCCUACGGGAGGCAGCAGUGGGGAAUAUUGCACAAUGGGGGAAACCCUGAUGCAGCAACGCCGCGUGAGUGAUGACGGUCUUCGGAUUGUAAAGCUCUGUCUUUAGGGACGAUAAUGACGGUACCUAAGGAGGAAGCCACGGCUAACUACGUG
rnacentral:rRNA from 1 species